UGUUUGGAAGUUUAGAAACGUCAGAAUUUGGAUCUGGAAAUGGUAAAGUAAUACCUCAAACAA
rnacentral:tRNA from 1 species